CAAAGGUGAGCCAGUACAGGAUGGACCCGCGUCUGAUUAGCUAGUUGGUAAGGUAACGGCUUACCAAGGCGACGAUCAGUAGCCGACCUGAGAGGGUGAUCGGCCACAUUGGAACUGAGACACGGUCCAAACUCCUACGGGAGGCAGCAGUGGGGAAUAUUGCACAAUGGGCGAAAGCCUGAUGCAGCAACGCCGCGUGAGUGAUGAAGGCCUUCGGGUCGUAAAACUCUGUCCUCAAGGAAGAUAAUGACGGUACUUGAGGAGGAAGCCCCGGCUAACUACGUGCCAGCAGCCGCGGUAAUACGUAGGGGGCUAGCGUUAUCCGGAUUUACUGGGCGUAAAGGGUGCGUAGGCGGUCUUUCAAGUCAGGAGUGAAAGGCUACGGCUCAACCGUAGUAAGCUCUUGAAACUGGGAGACUUGAGUGCAGGAGAGGAGAGUGGAAUUCCUAGUGUAGCGGUGAAAUGCGUAGAUAUUAGGAGGAACACCAGUUGCGAAGGCGGCUCUCUGGACUGUAACUGACGCUGGGGCACGAAAGCGUGGGGAGCAAACAGGAUUAGAUACCCUGGUAGUCCACGCUGUAAACGAUGA
rnacentral:rRNA from 1 species